UACUCGUGCAGUGUUUGAGGUGAGGGAAAUCUUUCUACAUUUAGCUGAUUAAAUGCAUUUAAGUACGGUUUACAACACAACAUAACAUUUUAAUUAGUUAUGAAGUUUCGAGAACAUAGUAGUUAAUGCAAACCCGUAACCUGCGAAAUUAUUCUUUGUGUAGUUUUUACGGACCUCGUGGUCGUAUUUACAUUUCGUAUUUACAAACCAUAAAAAAUGGCUCCAAGCUGCAAGAAUUUCGCAGCUGAAAGGGAUGAGCAGAAGUUACCAGGUAGAGGAUGCCAGGAGUUGAAAUCCAGUGGGUUGGCAUGAUAACAAAUGGCUGCAACUAAGGUUGAACUAUGGUGUCCACCCAUGCAUCAACUGAAGUGUUUAACUAUGGAUUUGUAGCAAACAUUGUUAGCAUGGAAACUUCUAACACAUGAAUAAAGGUUGGCAUGACACCAAAAGGCAGUCUUGUAUGCACAUUUGCAUGAGGUGGCGGCAGCUUGUGACAGAAGUUGAAGCCACAAGAGUUGUGACCAGGAUGCAGAAAAACGAAGAUGUCAACCUUUAGGUUCUGUGUUUGUAGUCUGUCAUUUCAAAGGGAAUUUGUGGAUUAACUUUUUUUUACCAUUCAGUUUAAACUGUUUGAUUAAAAAAAAAAUUGUAAAAUUGCAAGUUUCUGGAGUACAGAUUGAUGUGAAGUUUAGUCCAUAAUAAACAGACUUUUAAAAACUUGAUUUGCUGGAUCAAAGAUUUAUGGAAAUGUACUUGCUCCAGUACAUGGUACUCCCAUCAUUGGCGUAUGGCAUAUUGCUGGUUUGCCUGGCCAUACUUCUAAGCAACAACUUGUUCAUGGAGAUCCUUUUAUUUAGUGGCAUAACACAAACUAUUUGACCCAAGUGUGUGUUUGGUGAAUUGUAAUGUAUAAAUCAAGUCCAUUAUUGAUUGCCUUAAACAGGCUUUGAAAUUGGUAAAUUUACAAUGAGGUUCCAUUUGUUGACCAUUAUUUAACAAGACCUAACACUGAUCAAUACAUGUAAAGCAUGUAUUAAUGUUAAUUUAAACCUGGGAAUACAUUUUAAUGCAGUAUGAACAAAUGUUUUU